AUGCCUUAAACUGAUGAGUAAGGAAAAUAACGACGUGGGGUGACGCCUGCGUCCUCGUGCUCACUCACGAGAGGAAUUUUUGAAGGGGUUCAGGUCCGUCUGCUGAGGUGACUCGCUUACUUCGCAAGAUAUCUCGCAGAACCGGGAUCUUCCCU